GAUUUUUUUUUUAAAGGGAAAAGGAGAGAAGGAUAACUUCCCACUUGACUUUAGAGGACAUCACUGCUUUUUAUUAGCAACUCAUUAAAUGUCAACUUAAAGAAUAAAUACAACUCACUGAUGAAAACUACAGAAUGAGUGAGGCCUUUAAUUCAGACCCACAGUGGAAAGAAUUCAUCUUCAAAAGUAAAAAAAAGUUUGAAAGACUUUCCAGCCUCUACCAAGAACUGGGGACAGAAGAAAGACAGUCAGGAGGAAUGAGUAACCAACUGAGAAGCCUGG